GACGACGGCCAUGCCACUGUGAACGAGCCCAAUCCCCUCUGAUUUCGGAAGCUAAGCAGGGUUGGGCCUGGUUAGUCCUUGGAUGGGAGACCACCUAGGAAGACCAGGUGCUGUAGGCA
rnacentral:rRNA from 1 species